rnacentral:rRNA from 1 species
CCUACGGAGAGCUGCAGUGGGGAAUAUUGGACAAUGGGCGAAAGCCUGAUCCAGCCAUGCCGCGUGUGUGAAGAAGGCCUUCGGGUUGUAAAGCACUUUCAGUGGGGAAGAAAGCCUUGGGGCUAAUACCCUCGAGGAAGGACAUCACCCACAGAAGAAGCACCGGCUAACUCCGUGCCAGCAGCCGCGGUAAUACGGAGGGUGCGAGCGUUAAUCGGAAUUACUGGGCGUAAAGCGCGCGUAGGCGGUCUGAUAAGCCGGUUGUGAAAGCCCCGGGCUCAACCUGGGAACGGCAUCCGGAACUGUCAGGCUAGAGUGCAGGAGAGGAAGGUAGAAUUCCCGGUGUAGCGGUGAAAUGCGUAGAGAUCGGGAGGAAUACCAGUGGCGAAGGCGGCCUUCUGGACUGACACUGACGCUGAGGUGCGAAAGCGUGGGUAGCAAACAGGAUUAGAUACCCUGGUAGUC